UUCGGGGCGCCUGUGGAGGUGCUGCAUGGUUGUCGUCAGCUCGUGCCGUGAGGUGUCGGCUUAAGUGCCCAUAACGAGCGCAACCCUUUUCAUCAGUUGCCAUCAGGUAAUGGUGGGCACUCUGGAGAUACUGCCACCGUAAGGUGUGAGGAAGGUGGGGAUGACGUCAAAUCAGCACGGCCCUUACGUCCGGGGCUACACACGUGUUACAAUGGUAGGUACAGAGAGUCAGGAUGUUGGCAAGAAUGUUCUAAUCAUAAAAGCCUUCCUCAGUUCGGAUUGGGGUCUGCAACCCGACCCCAUGAAGCUGGAUUCGCUAGUAAUCGCGCAUCAGCCAUGGCGCGGUGAAUACGUUCCCGGGCCUUGUACACGCCGCCCUA
rnacentral:rRNA from 1 species